GACGAACGCUGGCGGCGUGCCUAACACAUGCAAGUCGAACGGAAAGGCCCUGCUUUUGUGGGGUGCUCGAGUGGCGAACGGGUGAGUAACACGUGAGUAACCUGCCUUUGACUUUGGGAUAACUUCAGGAAACUGGGGCUAAUACCGGAUAGGAGCUCCUGCUGCAUGGUGGGGGUUGGAAAGUUUCGGCGGUUGGGGAUGGACUCGCGGCUUAUCAGCUUGUUGGUGGGGUAGUGGCUUACCAAGGCUUCGACGGGUAGCCGGCAUGAGAGGGUGACCGGCCACAAGAGGACUGAGAUACGGCCCAGACGGCAACGGGAGGCAGCAGUGGAAAAUAUUGCACAAUGGGCGGAAGCCUGAUGCAGAAACGCCGCGUGCGGGAUGACGGCCUUCGGGUUGUAAAGCGCUGUCGCCUGUGACGAAGCGUGAGUGACGGUAAUGGGUAAAGAAGCACCGGCUAACUACGUG
rnacentral:rRNA from 1 species